CCACUAAAAAAGGGUCCAAGGAUAAAGUGUCAGGCACAGAAUCUGGAGGUGAAAAGGCUGGUUCAAAGAAGGAAGCCAAGGAUGAUAAAAAAGAUGCAACGAGCUCACAAGAAACACUUUUAAGUACAGCAGCUGACAAAGAUGGCAAAAAGAAGGAAGAAAAAGCUGUUAAACAGAGUUCAAAAAGCAAAGAUACGGUUAAAGAUUCUGCAAGUGAAAAGGGAGAUGAAAAGAAAGAGGACAAGAAGGAAGGGAAAAAGGAGAAGAAAAAGAAAGAUGGAGAAGGAAAAGAGGGUGGUAAGAAAGAGAAGAAAGACAAGAAGGACAAGAAAGACAAAAAGGACAAGAAGGACAAGAAAGACAAGAAAGACAAGAAAGAAAAGAAAGACAAGAAAGAUAAAAAAGACAAGAAAGACAAGAAAACAAAGAAGGAGAAGUAGUUCUUGGUUCAAAAGCAAACUGAAGGACCAUCUGAGUUUCAAGUGACCACAAGACUGACCCACCUGUAAUCCCAGAUGAACAUUUUUGAUGUAGGAUGAAGCUACUCAUUGACAUCUUAGUAUGUCCCAAUGGUAAGUAAUUAUUAUCUAACUUGCACAGGAAGCAUGGCUCUCUAUCACUUAUGAAACAACAAGGAUUCAUUGCUACCUCAGCAGGUCAUUGUUCAGCAGACAAUGACAUUGUUCAACUAGCACAAUCUCAGUGAACUAUGACAGUGGCAGCAAAUGAUGCAGAUGUUUGUCUUUUCUGUCUCAGAAGACAUGGGAUAGCUUCAAUAGAUCUAUAAGUAGUUCCCUCAUAAGAAUACAAAAAUACAGCUUUAGAUUCAAUUAAAUAUACAAAUUACAGAAGAAUAACCUUUUGCUUUACUAGUGUGAAUCUGCAAAAAGGACAGAAAAAUUCUCCAUGUGGUCAAAUUCAACAUCUGGGUGACUUUGUCUGGGAGACUUUACUGUUUCACUAAUAUCAUUUCUCUGUUAUUCUACCUAGUCUUGUGAUGCUAUAAGCCAGUUGACCCUAUAUUUUAAGCCAACUAACUUCAUUCAUUUUCAAAGUCAUAAAAGAAAAUAUUUAGGCCAGCUUAUUUAAUUGUCAUCAGGCAUCUUCAAAUCAAAAUGCCACAAUAGAACACUUGAUAUUACCACCAGAGACCAUUAUUUCACAAAUCUCUAUUCUGUAAUCUAAGCCAGGGUCUCAUCUAAAGCUGGUAAGUAACCCUUAUUAUGUUUUCUCUAUUCUAAAUCCUACCCUGUUUCUGACUUUGCUAAUUUCAUAUUUCUGAAGUUUACACACUCACAGUUAUGGCAAAUUUUAUAUUUCACUAAAAGACUCCAAAGUCCUAAUUACAGGUAAUGUCCUCUGGUUUGUGUAAAGAUGGUGGCUCCCAUUCCAUCCACCAAGUAGACACCUAUUGUGCUUGUUCAGUUUCUUGCCACUGUGAGAAAAAUAUUUUAUGAAAACAACUGGAAAUACAAAGUGUUAUUUUGUCUCUUGGUUUAAAGGAAAUGUCCAUCAUGUUGGCAGACAU
rnacentral:lncRNA from 1 species